rnacentral:rRNA from 1 species
CAGCAGCCACGGUAAUACGGAGGGUGCAAGCGUUAAUCGGAAUUACUGGGCGUAAAGCGCACGCAGGCGGUCUGACAAGUCAGAUGUGAAAUCCCCGGGCUUAACCUGGGAACUGCAUUUGAAACUGUCAGGCUGGAGUCUUGUAGAGGGGGGUGGAAUUCCAGGUGUAGCGGUGAAAUGCGUAGAGAUCUGGAGGAAUACCGGUGGCGAAGGCGGCCCCCUGGACAAAGACUGACGCUCAGGUGCGAAAGCGUGGGGAGCAAACAGGAUUAGAUACCCCAGUAGUCCCUGUCUUUUAUAC